rnacentral:rRNA from 1 species
GACAGAGGGUGCAAACGUUGUUCGGAAUUACUGGGCGUAAAGCGCGUGUAGGCAGCUGAGCAAGUCGGAUGUGAAAGCCCUGGGCUCAACCUAGGAAGUGCAUUCGAAACUGCUGAGCUUGAGUUCUGGAGAGGAAGGCGGAAUUCUCGGUGUAGAGGUGAAAUUCGUAGAUAUCGGGAGGAACACCGGUGGCGAAGGCGGCCUUCUGGACAGCAACUGACGCUGAGACGCGAAAGCGUGGGGAGCAAACAGG